CUUGAUGGAGCCGAGCCACAGCGGCUGCCCGUCGGGGCGGCCGCGCCCGUAGGUGGCGAGCAGGGCGUUGGCCUC
rnacentral:antisense_RNA from 1 species